rnacentral:rRNA from 2 species
GUAGGGAAUAUUGCUCAAUGGGGGAAACCCUGAAGCAGCAACGCCGCGUGGAGGAUGAAGGUUUUCGGAUUGUAAACUCCUUUUGUUAGAGAAGAUAAUGACGGUAUCUAACGAAUAAGCACCGGCUAACUCCGUGCCAGCAGCCGCGGUAAUACGGAGGGUGCAAGCGUUACUCGGAAUCACUGGGCGUAAAGAGCGCGUAGGCGGGAUAGCAAGUCAGAUGUGAAAUCCUAUGGCUUAACCAUAGAACUGCAUUUGAAACUGUUAUUCUAGAGUAUGGGAGAGGUAGGUGGAAUUCUUGGUGUAGGGGUAAAAUCCGUAGAGAUCAAGAGGAAUACUCAUUGCGAAGGCGACCUGCUAGAACAUAACUGACGCUGAUGCGCGAAAGCGUGGGGAGCAAACAGG